rnacentral:ncRNA from 2 species
ACCUUAUCAAGAGAGGUGGAGGGACAGGCCCUAUGAAACCCGGCAACCGAUAAUUUAAAUUAUUUGGUGCUAAAUCCUGCAGGACUAGAGUUCUGGAAGAUGAGGU